CUAGUCCUCCUCUUGGUUUUUUCUAAAAUGAUACAUGCAAGUCAUCGACAACCCGGUGAGUAAAUAUAAAAGUAUUCUUCUAAAAGAAGAAUCACCACACCAACGGUAUCAGGAUUCAACAUUGAACCCAUAACACCUAGCAUCCCACACCUGCAGUACUAAACAUUAUACAAUAUGUACACACUUGAUAUAGUUACAGAAAAAAGGGUUGGUAAAUUAUGUGCCAGCCACCGCGGUUAUACAUAAAACCCUAAUCAAGAACUUAACGGUAAAAAGUGGUUAGAAAGACUCAAUAAAACAUAAAGAAAGAUCCCCUCUAGUAGUAAUAAACUUUAUAGAAAGAUCAAGCACAAAUUAAAAUAAACCUUAUGUUAAUAUUGCUUCUCCAUUUAUUCGAAGCCACUAAAGCUCAAAAAUAAACUGGGAUUAGAUACCCCACUAUAUGAGCCAUAAAACACACUACCCGAGAACUACGAACUAAAGUUUAAAACUCAAAGGACUUGGCGGUUUUUUAGACCUACCUGGAGGAGCUUGCAACCUAACCGAUAACCCACGAAAAACCUUAACCAGCA
rnacentral:rRNA from 12 species